rnacentral:lncRNA from 8 species
AUGAACUUGAUUGAACAAAACAUGCAUGUAUUGUAUAACAUAAUGUCCUAGGAGUGUCAUCUGAUGAAGAUCAUCAAAGGUUAGUGCUGCAUUUAGCUGUGGUUUUGGUGUUUGUGACAUAUAUGCAUGCUUUGAAAAUGGCUGUGUGAUUAUUUUUGGCAGGGUACUCUUCUGACAUAAUCUAAUGUUUGCUUUCGCUGUAAAGCCUUUUUGAAAUCGGACAGUGUGGUUAGAUUAACAAGAGUCUUGUCUUUAAAAUGGUGUAAAAUAGUCAUAUGUUUGAGAAAUUGAAGUUAUAGCAUUUAUGAGGUAUUUGUAUUUCGUGCCACACGAUUCCACUGGCUGUUGACGUCCCACCUUGCCCAGGGAGGUUAAAUUCUGGUCCAGGGAAAGUACUCCCUUUCUAAGUAUGCGUUUGCCUUUAUUGUUGCUUGUGUCACUGACAGUUGUCACAAACAGUAUAUUUACCAUCAACUCACUGCGAUACUAGACGUUUGUCCAACAGCCGCAAAUGUCAGAUUUUGGAAUGUCGAAUCAUCACUAGAAUUUACUUGCCUUGUCAAAAUAAUGACAAUAGCUCAUCACAUUGAUGACUUCAAUGACGCAAUAACCCAUAUUUGGUUUAGUUUAGGCAAGAACUCGACUUGGUCAGGGUCAGGGCUAUUGUUAAUUAAGGGAGAAGUUACACGACCAUUAGACCUGAUCACACCUGCUCAGCAGGCCUCUGGUGGACGAACUGUCAUACUGCCUCCUGACGUAUAACUACCUUGGUCAGACGUCCAAUAGCGCAGUCUGAGGCUUGCGACCUGGCUGACUUGCCUGAACUGUUUUCACACAGGUUGUGUGAGAGAGCUCCUGAAAGAUGUUUGUUUCAUUUAUAAUGACAUUAAGAACUUUGCAAGCCCAAAUGCAAACCAAUGUCAACAGAGCUGCACCCAACUUGAUGCCUGUCAGUAUUUCACAUAUAUUCACAGUCGACAGGAGUGCUAUCUGAAGGGCUCAGCUGGUGGCAGGGCAAUGAAUGUCAUACACUUAGAAGACAGAGUUUCAGGCUACACCCCUAAAGACUGCGAGGAAAAAGGUAAGCACCCCCACCUAUUUUUAUCUGAAGAUCGUUAUAAAGACACAUUCCGCAGCUUUUCCUUCUCUUUUGGACUACAAUCAUGGGUCGUAUUCACUAGAACCAGAAGGAAGCAAACGGGCCAAAACAGAGCUGUCUGAAUUUGUCCAACACGCUAUGCAAGUGAUGCGUUGUUUUCGAGGAAGUAGCCUUGUCGUUUGUUUUGAAUGGUCUUCAGGGCUAAAACUUUCUAAAAGCCAUCUGGCCAUCCACCAACACAAAUAUAAUUAUAUAUACAGUACCACUCAAACGUUUGGACACACAUACUCAUUCAGGGGUUUUUCUUUAUUGGCACUGUUUUCUACAUUGUAGAAUAAUAAUGAAGACCUAUAAAAUAACACAUGUGGAAUUAUGUAGUAACCAAAAAAAGUGUUAAACAAAUCUAAAUAUAUUUUAUAUGUUAGAUUCUUCAAUGUAGCCACCUUUUGCCUUGAUGACAGCUUUGCACAAUCUUGGCAUUCUCUCAACCAGCUUGACCUGGAAUGCUUUCUAAAACAGUCUUGAAGGAGUUCCCACAUAGACUGAGCACAUGUUGGCUGCUUUUCCUUCACUCUGCAGUCCAACUAAUACAAAACCCUCUCAAUUGGGUUGAGGUUGGGUGAUUGUGGAGGCCAGGUCAUCUGAUGCAGCACUCCAUCAGUCUCCUUCUUGGUCAAAUUGCCCUUACACAGCCUAGAGGUGUGUUGAGUCAUUGUCCUUUGAAAAACAAAUUAUAAUCCCACUAAGCGCAAAUCAGAUGGGAUGGCGUAUCGCUGCAGAAUGCUGUUAUAGCCAUGCUGGUUAAAUGUGCAUUGAAUUCUAAAUAAAUCACCGACAGUGUCACCAACAAAGUACCCCCACACCUCCUCCUCCAUGCUUCACGCUGGGAACCACACAUGCGGAG